UACGAGGGGGGCGAGCGUUGUUCGGAAUUAUUGGGCGUAAAGGGUGCGUAGGCGGCCUGACAAGUCUGAUGUGAAACUCCCGUGGCUCAACCGAGGCCUGCAUCGGAAACUGUCGGGCUUGAGUAUGGGAGAGGUGAGUGGAAUUUCCGGUGUAGCGGUGAAAUGCGUAGAUAUCGGAAGGAACACCUGUGGCGAAAGCGGCUCACUGGACCAUUACUGACGCUGAGGCACGAAAGCUAGGGGAGCAAACAGG
rnacentral:rRNA from 1 species